rnacentral:lncRNA from 1 species
UUCUAUUAUGUCACUAUUGAAAAUUAUGUUGCAGUCCUUUUUCUUAUCAGGGUGCAACUGGAUUCAUUUUCCACUUCCAACCUGGAACCAACACACAAAUGAUGAGAUCUGAUCCGAAACAAGAUCAUUUGGAUUAGGCUUGGAUUGAAAAGUAUAACCAUUUCAUAUAUGGAUCGAACAUGGAUCACCAAGUGAGCCUAUCUGAUUCCAAACCAACCAAAACUAAUAUAUUAUGUUUUUUAUGCUUGGAUUUAAGAAAAUAUUUUACUUUUACUAAUAGGUUCUCUGUAGUUUAUUGUCGAUAUAUGUUGUUGACAAUUAUUUAUAUGCUACCAACAGUUCGUCUUAUGUGGAAUGAGUUGAUAACAUCUACAAGUUGUUCAAUUAAUGUCUCCUUGCAUGAUAUUCUUAGGACAUAGUUAAGUAACUGAUUUAUACAUAAAUUUAGGACAUAGUUAAGUAACUGAUUUAUACAUAAAUCUUAUGGUUUGUGUUUGGAUUAAAAAAUGAAUUAAUUAAAUAAAAUAUCAAACAAAAGGACCCUGCCCGAAUGAAAUUGGAUCAAGCUUGGAUUCAAACUUCUUGCCAAAUUCAAAUGUGGAUUCGAUUUGGGUUUUGCAUAGCAACUAGCACAACCUGAUCCACUUGCAGCCCUAGUUCUCACACAUGCUAACAACUAUACAUGUCAUGAUCAAAGACACCCAAUGUUGUCAGGAUCAGGAUUAAGUUGUAAAGCAUUGAGUGGUUCAAAUUAGAUCAGAUCACGGAUCACAAGAUCAUGGCCCAUUUCAUUCAAAAAUACUAUGAAUAUAAAGGGAUGAAAAUUGUAAAAAUGAGUAUCUGUAAAGUAGAAAAAUGCAAAAUAGAAAGUCAUGAUUGUAAGUGGCCAAGUUUCCACCAUCAUAAGCCCACAUAUAGUAUGUCUAAUGAAACUAAAUCAUGUAAUGUCGAAUGAAACUAAAUCAUGUAUAACCAAACAAGACAUACAUCCAUAG